GCGGGGGUGGCGGAAUAGGUAGACGCGCCAGGUUGAGGGCCUGGUGGCUUACGGGCUGUGGGAGUUCAAGUCUCCCCCUCCGCACCA
rnacentral:tRNA from 1 species